UGAGGAAGUAAGAUAUUGGUUACAACACGGAACAAAGGUGUUGCAUCCAUUGUGCGCACUGAUCCAAAUGAUCAUGAUCUUGAAGUUCUAUCAGACAAUGCUUGUUUGGCACUGGUUAGAAGACAUACUUUCAUGGAUGGAAAUUCAUCAUUUGAGGAUGCGAAUGAAAAUUGGAAGUAUUUGGUGAACAAAUUUUGAAGAAAUGUUAGGGUUUACCUUUGGCUAUAAAGACACUGGCUGGUGUCUUGCGAGAUAAAAGGGAGAAUUGUGAGUGGGAAAAAUAUUUUGGAGAGUGAAAUAUGGGAUUUAAGAGACAGUACUAAUAUCAUUCCAUCACUUGUGUUGAGCGAUCAUCAUCUUCCUCCGCAUCUGAAGAGGCGCUUCGCAUAUUGUGCUUUAUUUCACAAGGACUACGAAUUCGACAAGAUCGAGUUGGUAAGAUUAUGGAUGGCAGAAGGUAUUGUGCAAUCAAAAGGAAAGAAACGGCUUAAAGAUAUAGGAGUAGGGUAUUUCGACGAUCUCUCUAUGAAGUCUUUCUUUGACACAUCUAAGAAUCGUCCUUAUGAAAAAAUAUACAAGUCGACUUGGAAAUGCUAUGAUAUGUGGUGGUGUAUGAAUGGGGUUACCUAUACUGACCGACUACUUUUCUGAGAAUGAUGAUAGAUAUUCAUAUCAUGACUUAUUACAAUGUUUUGGCAUUGAGUCCUUUUCUGAAUCAACCAAAAUUUCUGGAUCAUCAAAGUUUGUGGAAUAUUGCGAGAUGAAAAAAUUGUUUGACUCUCAACAUCAAUCACCUCAUGAUUGCAACUCAAACGUCGAAGAUGGUGGUGAAGGAGAAUUCCAUUGGCUCAAUGAGCUAUAUGUCUUUAGAUGUCCCAACAUGAAGAAAUUACCACACACCCUUCCUUCCUUGGUGAAACUUGCAAUAGAAGCUUGUGAAGAACCCUCUUUCCUUCCAAUGCUGCCGUCAUUCGAGAGGUUGCGGUUAGGGCAAUGCAGUGAAAUGGUACUUGGGAAGGUGUCUGAUUUAUCAUUACUUUCAUCCUUAUGCAUGAAAGGUAUUUUAAAUCUGUCUUCGCUACCUGGUGGGUUCUUCCAACACCUAACAGCCCUUCAACAUUAGAAAUUACAUAUUGUCUUGCUCUUGAGUCCUUUCCAGACAUAAGGUUACGUAGCACACCUCAGGAGCUAUCGAUUUAAAUUGUGGGAAGCUGAAUUCCUUGCCUACGGGACUGCAUGAACUCACAAAUCUCCAACAAUUAAAAAUUAGAGGUUGUCUUAUUCUCAAGUCCUUUCCAGACAUGGGGUUACCCAUCACACUUCGGACACUAUCAAUUUCAAAUAGUGGGAAGCUGAAUUUCUUGCCCAAGGGACUGCACAAACUCACAAAACUCCAACAAUUAGAAAUUGGAGAUUGUCUUACUCUUGAGUCCUUUCCAGACAUGGGAUUACCCAGCACACUUUGGGACCUAUGGAUUUUAAAUUGUGGGAAGCUGAAUUCCUUGCCCAAAGGACUGCACAAACUCACAAAUCUCCAACAAUUGAACAUUUUGGGAUGCUCUUUUCUUAUGGAGUGCAAGAAUCUUGAACCCCUGUAUACCUUGGGCCUUCAUAAUCUCACCUCUCUUUCAGAUCUCACUGUUGGUGGAUGUCCUGCUCUCGUGUCCAUUCCAAAGGGCCUGCUUCCGAACAAUCUUAGGAAAUUUUAGAUCUGUGGCUGCCUGAUUCUUGAAUCCUUACAUGAUGGACUCUCUAACCUAACCUCUCUUGAAGGUUUGGUGAUUGUAAAUUGUCUAAUGCUAAACCAAUUGUACCAAAAGAAGGAAGGAGAACUGUGGUCCAAGAUUGCCCAUAUCCCUACCAUAAUGAUAGAUUUGCAACGUCAAUAAAUCCUAACCACCAACUAUGGGCAUUCCCUUUCAUAACAAAACCCAAUGAUGGAAUACUACAGAGUACUGACGGAUCUGUCUAUAAUGCAGUAACACAGUAAAAGCAUAGAUGCAAUGCAACCAAUUGAAUGAGGUGAAUGACAAGAUGUGAAGAGCAUGACUGAAUGAUGGAACAGAUAUCAGGGGCAGAUUAUUAUUACUGAGAGAAAUUGCUUCUCUUUGAAAAUGCUCAAGAAUCCACACAACGUGAAAAAGCAGUUGUGUGCUACAUUUCAACUAAUUAGCAUUCUGUAGCAUUGAAUCUAUAAGUUAUCACUUAUCAGCCUCCAGUUAGUUUCUGCCAACACUAAAGCUUCAAUUGGUCAUGAUAAAUGAUGGAAGUUAUACAAUGGAGGAAUCUGUUCUAUAAGUCAUUCUUACACUAGUGGCCCUCAAUCUGCCUCAAAAUUCUCAAGGCAAGAACACUCAACUUAGCUGGGAUUUUUUGACAUUUGAACUAGAACCGGAAGAUUGUGGGACUUGUGUCAAUGUCCUACUCUGAAAUUGUGAGUACCUUUGCACCUCUCUCUCCCUGUUUCAUACACAUACAGAAAAAAAGAAAUGUAUGCAAAGUGAAUUAUAUGCCUGCCUUUUUCUACCAGGAAAAAGGAAGAAAUAUGUGCCUUCCAAAAAAAA